rnacentral:misc_RNA from 1 species
UAAGUAAACUUCACAAAAAUAUAAUAUUUACACUGCUGGAGAAAUUAAAAUUUCAUAAAGACUAACAUAUUUAUUUCAAGAACAAAACGCACAGUGCACAACUGUGUUGGAUCAUCAUUAAUACAUCUUGUUAUAUAAAAAGCACAAGGAAUACACAGCAAGUAUACACUGAACUGCAGGAUUUGCCAUCACCAGCUAUGGAUGGUGGAUGUAAGUUUUAUUUCACUCUCUAGUUACAACUUGUGAUGUUAGCAACACACAUUAUUUGAUGAAGUGGGCCCAGCAGCCUUGAUACACAUCGGAUCCCAUGUCAUCCCUUCUGUA